rnacentral:RNase_P_RNA from 1 species
CAGUUCUGACAAUCGCUACGAAAGUAGAGGAAAGUCCAUGCUCGCACCAACUGAGAUGUUGGUAGUGAUUGUGCUAAUCGAAAAAAUAAGGUUAGGCAGGCUGAGUACCUGACAGCUGGAUAGAAACCUAAGUCAAUUGAUAUGGUGGAAUCCUAUAAAAGUGCCACAGAGACGAUGCUAAAUAGAAAUAUUUAGAGUGGAACGUUGGUAAACCUCACAAGCGAGAAACCCAAAUUUGGUAGGGGAAUUGUUGUUUGAUAAAUGAAUCAAAUAACGGAUGCGAAAGCAUAGAUAAAUGAUUGUCUAAUACAGAACAUGGCUUAUAGGA